rnacentral:misc_RNA from 1 species
UUCCAAUUUUACUUUUUAUUUUUACUAAAUAUAAUAAAUAUUUAACAUAAUUAAAUAAGUAGAUGAGAUAAAAGGUAAUUAAAAAUGAAGUUAUCAAAUCGUGCGAACUCAAAUGCCACAUAAUUUAAUUUUUAAUGGAGCACUAUGAGUAGAGGUCAUAUUAAGUAAAGACUAAAUAAAUCUUAUUACUUUAAUUAUAUUAACUUUAUUUUCUUAAUUUAUGUGAAAAAAGAAGUAAUUCCAUCUUUGUUGGACGGAGAUAGUAGUUGAUUAUUCUGCAAAGUUACUACUAUAUUAUUGUCACGACCCAACCUAUGG